rnacentral:lncRNA from 1 species
CUGGACUGGAACAGUAAUUUGUGAAGGGUUUUAAAUGAAAGAGCAAGUGUUCAGACUCCUAGAGAACUCUGAAGACUAAACUGAAUUGAAAUUUGCAGCAAUAUAUGCUAGGGAACUCAUAAUACAUUGCUGAUUACAGGAGUGCAGAGAUGAAAAGUUUAAUAUCAACUCUGGCUCUCCUUCACUGCUAGGGCUAAAUGUGAAUAUUAUCCAAGGAUGUUUCUAAAUGAAUCUCCAGUAGUUCUCUCUUUCCAAGUCAGAUCUCAGAAUCUCUUCACUUGAGUCAAGCUACUCCCAGCUUUGGCACACAUCUGGUCCAACACUACUUUGGGAUAUGUUUUGUUAAGGUUGCUGCUCUGCCUGGAAGGCUCUCAUUCCUCUGCUGCUUGACCCGAGCUUUCCUUCCUCUAAGAACUGCUAGAGGCUCCUAGAUGCCUUUCCAAACCAACUUCUCUUCUAUGAGAUCAGCUCUCAGCUUUGUAUUCCUUGGCGUCUAUGGAGGCCCAGAACUGAAGCUGUUAACAAUGAGAUAGGCAUCUCAAGGAGAAUGAAACUGGUAGGUAAUAACAGAAUGGAUAACAUUUCCAGAGUACUUGUUUCAUAGCAGAUAUUGGUAUAAGGACUUUGCAUAGUUUAAUUAUUUUAGUGUGUAUACAAACCUUGAACCUUAAUAUAUUAUAUUCCUCUUGCCAUCCCAUGGGCAUUGAAGUUAAAUAACUUGUUUGUUUCUCUGCGAUGAGUUAGUUGAACAUCUGAAUUUGAACGUAGGGAGCCUAGCUUCAGGGCCCAUAGCAUAAUCACUUACAUUUAGCCUCUCCCAGAAGCCUGCAUCAGAUACAUUCUGGGGGCAUCCUGGCAUUACAGUACAGGGAAAAGGCCAGACUGGCAGACAGAACAGGCACAAGGAGACUAAGAAGGAAGGUCUAGCAAGGCAGAAAAGGCAAAUCUUUUCAUGAUAAACUGUCAGCAUCAGGUAGUAAGCUUUGC